CAUGUGUCUGGAUUUCAAAUCAGCUGUAAAUUAUUUAGAGGAAAUAUUUCACUGCUGCUGAUCUUGUUUUUUUGUUUUGUUUUGUUUUUUUGUAAAGAAGACCAUAUUUCCAGUCCUGGAGCUCAUUUAUACUGAACACAAUAACAUGCUUGUAACAGGUUUGAAACAACAUUAAACUUCCUCUUAUGCUGAAAAGGAAAGUUAAAGGGGUGUUCUUUCAGAAUCAGACAGCAGACAGGGAGAGAUGAAUUUCUAAAUUAAUAUCAGCUUUGGAAAACUUCUGUAAAGAGACCGUGAUACACUGCCAGCAUCAUUAUGCUUGGGUCCUACCGAAAGAGAAAAAAACCAUUGGGAUGCGAAGUGUCUUGGAAAGAAUGCAGAGUCUACUCUGAGGAGCUUGCAGUACUGAGAUCUACUCCCGCACUAGGCCAUGUUUAUUCAUCAAAUGGAGAAACACUCCCUGUGUCAGAGAUAUUAUCUGCAUUAGUCAUCAGUACAAGUGGUGCAGAGACCUUUCUGUGCUGCAGAGGAGCCUGCAGCACAACCAAGGAAAUGCUGCCAUGUCACUAG
rnacentral:lncRNA from 1 species